rnacentral:rRNA from 1 species
AACGAACGCUGGCGGCAGGCCUAACACAUGCAAGUCGAACGCUCCGCAAGGGGAGUGGCGCACGGGUGAGUAACACGUGGGAACCUACCUUCUGGUACGGAACAACCAAGGGAAACUUUGGCUAAGACCGUAUACGACCUCCGGGUGAAAGAUUGAUCGCCGGAAGAGGGGCCCGCGUCCGAUUAGGUAGUUGGUGAGGUAACGGCUCACCAAGCCUUCGAUCGGUAGCUGGUCUGAGAGGAUGACCAGCCACACUGGGACUGAGACACGGCCCAGACUCCUACGGGAGGCAGCAGUGGGGAAGUAUUGGACAAUGGGCGAAAGACCUGAUCCAGCAAUGCCGCGUGAGUGAUGAAGGCCUUA